CAAAGUAACUAUGUGUGGGGGAACGGCUUCAGUACCAGGUAGUUAAACAUGCGCCAGGGGACGGGGAUAACCUGGGGAAACUGGGAUUAAACCGGGAUUGGGUCAAGAAUUCUGGAAUGGAUCCCUGGCUUAAAUCUAUAUGGCCCCUGGAUUGGACUGUGGCCGAAUCAGGGCUGUUGGUGAGGUAAUGGCCCGCCAAACCUAUAACCGGUACGGGCUCUAAGAGGAGAAGCCCGGAGAUGGGCACUGAGACAAGGGCCCAGGCCCUAUGGGGCGCAGCAGGCGCGAAAACUCUGCAAUUGGGCGAAAGCCUGACAGGGUUACUCUGAGUGAUUUCCGCUAAGGAGAUCUUUUGGCAGCUCUAAAAAUGGUGCAGAAUAAGGGGUGGGCAAGUCUGGUGUCAGCCGCCGCGGUAAUACCAGCACCCCGAGUGGUCGGGACGAUUAUUGGGCCUAAAGCAUCCGUAGCCGGUUGUGCAAGUCCUCCGUUAAAUCCAGCCGCUCAACGGAUGGGCUGCGGAGGAUACUACAGAACUAGGAGGCGGGAGAGGCAAGCGGUACUUAGUGGGUAGGGGUAAAAUCCUUUGAUCCAUUGAAGA
rnacentral:rRNA from 1 species